rnacentral:rRNA from 1 species
GCGUGUCUUAAACGAGAACUAGAAGCGCCGCUGGGUUAAGGCGAAAGGGAAUCCGGUUCUAAUUCCGGAACCGGUUACGGAUGCGAUCAAGUGCCGUCACUUGUCACGGUAACGUGAAAAAGCUCGGAGAAGCUGUUCGGAGCCCGGGAAGAGUUUUCUUUUCUGCAUGAGGGACUGAAACCAUGGAAUUCUGUCAUGGAGCGAUAUGGUAUUGGUCCGAAGAGCACCGCAGUUCUGCGGUGUCCGUGGGUUUCGGCCGGCCCUUGAAAAUCCGGGUGAGGGCUACGCGAUUGUUUCGUACCGGCUCGUACGAUAACCGCAUCAGGUCUCCCAGGUGAACAGCCUCUAGUCGAUAGAUGAAUGUAGGUAAGGGAAAUCGGCAAAUUGGAUCCGAAACUUCGGGAUAAGGAUUGGCUCUGAGGGUCGAGGCGGUCGGGCUUGGGCGCGAAGCCGGUUAGCCGACGUGCCGGUCUGGGUGAGCUCUCUUCGGGGGGCGAUCUCGGACCUGGCCGAAGCUUCGGGGGAGCGUCCUUGCAAUGGAGCGGAUCGUUCGGGUUUCGGCCCGUUCACGCCGUUUUCUUCGGCGCCAGCGAACGACCAACUCAGAACUGGCACGAUCAGGGAAUCCGACUGUCUAAUUAAACAAAGCAUUGCGAUGGCCGCAAGUCGGUGCUGACGCAAUGUGAUUUCUGCCAGUGCUCUGAAUGUCAAAGUGAAGAAUUCAACGAAGCGCGGGUAAACGGCGGGAGUAACUAUGACUCUCUUAAGGUAGCCAAAUGCUCGUCAUCUAAUUAGUGACGCGCACGAAUGGAUUAACGAGAUUCCACUGUCCCUAUCUACUAUCUAGCGAACCACUGCCAGGGGAACGGGCUGGUUUCGUCAGCGGGGAAAGAAGACCUGUUGAGCUUGACUCUAGUUCGGCAUUGUGGAGUGACAUGAGAGGUGUAGCAUAAGUGGGAGGACGCCCUAGGCGCUCCGACAAUGAAAUACCACUACUUUCAUGGUCGCUUCACUUACUCGGUGAAGCGGAGCAAGCCGCACUCGCGUGGUUGGCUCUGUUCUUGCCUUAAGCGGUCCCGGCUCGCGCCGGCGUCCGCGAUCCGCGCUGAGGACAGUGCCGGAUGGGAGUUUGACUGGGGCGGUACAUCUGUCAAACGAUAACGCAGGUGUCCUAAGGCCAGCUCAGGAGGACAGAAACCUCCGUAGAGCAAAAGGGCAAAUGCUGGCUUGAUCCCGAUUUUCAGUAUGAAUACGGACUGCGAAAGCACGGCCUAUCGAUCCUUUUGGCUUUAAGAGUUUUAAGCAAGAGGUGUCAGAAAGUUACACAGGGAUAACUGGCUUGUGGCGGCAAGCGUUCAUAGCGACGUCGCUUUUUGAUCCUUCGAUGUCGGCUCUUCCUAUCAUUGCGAAGCAGUAUUCGCCAAGCGUAGGAUUGUUCACCACCUACAGGGAACGUGAGCUGGGUUUAGACCGUCGUGAGACAG